GAUGAACGCUGGCGGCGUGCCUAACACAUGCAAGUCGAACGGACGGACGAUAAGCUUGUGUCUCUAUGGUUAGCGGCGGGCGGGUGAGUAACGCGUGUAUCACCUACUUAUUUUUCUGGGAUAAUUACGUAAAUCCGGAUAUUAUACCAUAGAAUAUUUUGAACCGCAGGGUGCAAAGGAAAAUUACGGCCUUUGUGGCUCGAAUAGAUGCAUCCGCGCUGCAUUAGCUAGUUGGUAAGGUAACAGCUUACCAAGGCAACGAUGCAUGGCCGACCUGAGGGAGUGAUCGGCCACACUGGAACUGAGACACGGUCCAGACUCCUACGGGAGGCAGCAGUAGGGAAUGUUCGGCAAUGGGCGAAAGCCUGACGCAGCAACGCCGCGUGAGUGAUGAAGGCCUUCGGAUCGUAAAGCUCUGUUAUUAGGUAAGAACAUCUGUGGAAGGAAACGUGGCUAUCUUGACGGUACCUAAUAAAAAAGCACCGGCUAACUACGUG
rnacentral:rRNA from 1 species